CUAGACCUGAAAUCAGCCGAGGAUACCCGCUGAAUUUAAGCAUAUUAUUAAGCGGAGGAAAAGAAAAUAACUAUGAUUCCCUUGUAACGGCGAGUGAAGAGGGAGGUGCUCAAAGUGUAAAUCGUGAUACCUCUUAUGGUACCGCGAGUUGUAGCCUCUAGAGGCGCUACCAGU
rnacentral:rRNA from 1 species